UACGAAGGGGGCUAGCGUUGCUCGGAAUCACUGGGCGUAAAGCGCACGUAGGCGGAUUGCUAAGUCAGGGGUGAAAUCCCAGAGCUCAACUCUGGAACUGCCUUUGAUACUGGAUGUCUUGAGUGUGAGAGAGGUAUGUGGAACUCCGAGUGUAGAGGUGAAAUUCGUAGAUAUUCGGAAGAACACCAGUGGCGAAGGCGACAUACUGGCUCAUUACUGACGCUGAGGCUCGAAAGCGUGGGGAGCAAACAGG
rnacentral:rRNA from 1 species